GAUGAACGCUGGCGGCGUGCCUAAUACAUGCAAGUCGAGCGAACAGACGAGGAGCUUGCUUCUCUGACGUUAGCGGCGGACGGGUGAGUGACACGUGGAUAACCUACCUAUAAGACUGGGAUAACUUCGUGAAACCGGAGCUAAUACCGGAUAAUAUAUUGAACCGCAUGGUUCAAUAGUGAAAGACGGUUUUGCUUUCACUGAUAGAUGGAUCCGCGCCGCAUUAGCUAGUUGGUAGGGUAACGGCUUACCAAGGCAACGAUUCGUAGCCGACCUGAGAGGGUGAUCGGCCACACUGGAACUGAGACACGGUCCAGACUCCUACGGGAGGCAGCAGUAGGGAAUCUUGCGCAAUGGGCGAAAGCCUGACGGAGCAACGCCGCGUGAGUGAUGAAGGUCUUCGGAUCGUAAAGCUCUGUUAUUAGGGAAGAACAAAUGUGUAAGUAACUAUGCACGUCUUGACGGUACCUAAUCAGAAAGCCACGGCUAACUACGUG
rnacentral:rRNA from 1 species